rnacentral:lncRNA from 1 species
AAGGGAGUGUACUAUGGAUAAACCUGACGAUCAUGUUCUACAAGAUGUUCCCAUAGUCAUUAUCCCAUCUUUCGGAUAUUGUCGGAUAAACGACUACUCGUAUUCCAAAAAUAUUCUCAAGAGAGACUCUUAUGAGUGUAGUAUCACGUAACAAUCGUAUCAAAUCUUACAUUUGAACGACCUUCGCACUACGUCCUAAAAAUAGACCAAGAUGGGCUAGGUAAUCUAAGAUCCUUGGCUUCUAAGGUUUAU